UUCAGUUGAGAUUUUUGAAAUGAAGAUGGACGCCAUUGAAGUACAUCGUGGGAUAGUAAAAGGGUCAGCAAAAUGCUCAUCAAUGUCCAGUACCAUGGAGAAAAAAGUACCUCAAACUGCUGCCUGGUUUUUCCUUUCAAAGUUUAAUUCGAGAAGGCACAUCAAUCCACUGGUGCAAAAGAAGAGAACACCUCUGCCAUAGGAGAUUCAGCAGAAAAAGGCCAAACAGAUGGUCCAGGAGGUUCUGGAGAAGAGUUAAAUGGGAGAGGAAAUAAUGGAGGAGUAUAGUAGAGCACCUUGACACACUGUACAAGAAGGCAUCUUCUGAAUAUCCUGGUCCAUGGGAUACCAGUACGAAGUCAAGGAAAAAGAUAUGCACUCGGCAUUGUGACUGUUUCCUAAUCUCAGGGAUCCUUACUCCACCAAUGGCUAUGAACACUUCUACGAUGCUGGAAGAGGGACGGGCUAUCUGGCAUGGCGCCUAAAGCAACGAGUGUCGCAGCGUUUGGUCAAGAACAGCUCGGGAGCCUUGGAAUACAUGAACACCAUGAGCUUUUUAAGGAGGUAGACUUUCUAAUGAGGAGACACGGCAAUCAAAAAAUCCUCCAUAGAAAUGCAUGGGGUUAGUUUGUAACGUAUGGUGUUGUCUACAUAUAUCACACCCCCCUCCGUGGCAAAACGUGGACAUGUAAAUACAUUGAGCCAAUCAUGUGGUGUGUUGUGAAGACAUUGAUUGUGCCAAUCAUGUGUUGUGAUCUUGCCGCUGGAGCAAGAUUGGUGUUGUGAAGCCUGCCGAAAGUGCCCAAAAUGCGUUGCAAUAUGGCUGCUGAGUGGAGGGACUUGCCUAAAAGGACUUUGGGUAUACCCACAUGUAACAUCACUUCAUGGUGCAUUAUCUGUCUUGCUUAUGGAAAAUUGGCCCAUUAUUGCACAUCUCUAGUAAUAGGUUUGAAGCAAAACAAGUU